ACAUCAGCAACAUUCCUGGUUCUAAAGCCUUUGUGAUACCUGACAGUCAGGGACCCCAAGGCCUCAGCGGAGUCUUGGCUUCAGAGGGAGAUAAAAAUCAGUUUUGAGCCAGCCAAGUGAAAGCAAGAGAGUUUGACUAACGAGAGUACUCCACAGACAGAGCAGCACCAUAUGUGGUUAGAGUUCUACAUUUCUGGGUUCCGGAAAAUGAUGUGAGAGUCAUGUCUUUGAAAUACCCAAGAAAAUAUCUUUGCCUCCAAGCCCAAACACCUUGCUUCAAUAACUUCAUUAAUGAAAACAACUACUUAGCACUAAAGACAUGGCCUCAGUAAGAUUGCAUGAUCAGAAGAAAAGUCUCCCCAACAAAUAUAGGUCAAAAACUUUGGCCCUCAUACUGACUGGUUAUUAUUUGAUGCUGCUGCUUUCCUGAAAGCUCUUGCAAUCAGCUAAGGGCCAACGUGCUUCCUCUCCACUAAACACUGUCCUAGAGACUCACGUGAAAAAAAAAAGAA